UUUGUCUCUGUGUGAUGAAGUCAUUUCUUCCAUCUGUUGGUAGAGCAUGAGACUCUUAAUCUCAGGGUUGUGAGUUCGAGCCCCACGUUGGGGAAAA